rnacentral:lncRNA from 1 species
ACGAAUAAAUUUAUCAAUAGAUAUAGACAUGACACAUACCUUAAGAAACUAAAUUCCCAAACAAGAGAAAGGACAAAGCCGUUAUUAUUCAAAAUGAAUAUCAUUCAGACUUCACUUCCAGUUACAAAUAAACAACAAAAACCCAUUAUUUUCACGGCUACGUGAAUCAUUUAAAUCUCCAACAAAUUAAAUAAAAUAGCAUAAAAUGUAGCUCUAACGUAAUGGCUCCAAUGAGAUAGACAAAUGUUAAUUCAUACUUGAUUAUGAAAUAUUAGGUCAUAACUGGUAGGUCCAACAAGAAAUUCCAGAAAAUGAUAAUUCCCGCAGAAAUUAUGCGUAACCUAUAAAAUUACAUGAAUGAGUGUGUCAAAAUCACACUGGAAUCGUACAUUUGAAAACGUAUCAGGUCCAAUUUGAUCAGAAAAUAAAAAAUAAAAUAUAAAAAGUAAGUGAAGCAAGAAAUAGUACUAGGGAUUGGUAAAAAGAUAGCAUUAGGGGCCAAGCGAAGUGUAGAAGCAGAGAGGCGAACGGAGAGUGGUGGAAUUAGCGGCGAGGCAUGACGUCAUUGUGGCGGAGGAAACGGCGGUGUGGAAAGGGAGCAUGGAAUGAAGGGAUCCAAGUUGGGGAGAAAUGGGAUUCUUGUGGGUUAAGAUGAAGGAACGUGGAGUAGAAGUGGAUUUGGUGAAAGUUGAUUUGAAGAAUGAAGAAGAAGAAGAAGAAGAAGCAGUGUUGGAUUUAAGGGAUGUGAUUGUUCUUUGCGCGAUUCUGCUGCACGAUGAAGCCAUUCUCCAAAACUUUCGUUCAAAUCAACAAACAAUCAUAACAAGACUACACAAACAAGGGCUUAGGCUUAGGGCUUUAGGUGCUAUCUCCAUUCUUCGUUUUCUAUUUUCC